GACGAACGCUGGCGGCGUGCUUAACACAUGCAAGUCGAACGGAAAGGCCCUGCUUUUGUGGGGUGCUCGAGUGGCGAACGGGUGAGUAACACGUGAGUAACCUGCCCUUGACUUUGGGAUAACUUCAGGAAACUGGGGCUAAUACCGGAUAGGAGCUCCUGCUGCAUGGUGGGGGUUGGAAAGUUUCGGUGGUUGGGGAUGGACUCGCGGCUUAUCAGCUUGUUGGUGGGGUAGUGGCUUACCAAGGCUUUGACGGGUAGCCCGCCUGAGAGGGUGACCGGCCACAUUGGGACUGAGAGACGGCCCAGACUCCUACGGGAGGCAGCAGUGGGGAAUAUUGCACAAUGGGCGGAAGUCUGAUGCAGCAACGCCGCGUGCGGGAUGACGGCCUUCGGGUUGUAAACCGCUUUCGCCUGUGACGAAGCGUGAGUGACGGUAAUGGGUAAAGAAGCACCGGCUAACUACGUG
rnacentral:rRNA from 1 species